GUGGGCGUAGCUCAAUGGUUAGAGCACUGGACUGUGGCUCCAGGGGUUGGGGGUUCGAGUCCCCUCGCCCACC
rnacentral:tRNA from 1 species